UACGUAGGGUGCAAGCGUUGUCCGGAAUUAUUGGGCGUAAAGAGCUCGUAGGCGGUCUGUCGCGUCGGCUGUGAAAACCCGGAGCUCAACUCCGGGCCUGCAGUCGAUACGGGCAGACUGGAGUUCGGCAGGGGAGACUGGAAUUCCUGGUGUAGCGGUGAAAUGCGCAGAUAUCAGGAGGAACACCUGUGGCGAAAGCGGCGCACUGGACCACAACUGACGCUGAGGCGCGAAAGCUAGGGGAGCAAACAGG
rnacentral:rRNA from 1 species